rnacentral:rRNA from 1 species
AAAGCGUGGGGGAGCAAAUAGGAUUAGAUACCCUAGUAGUCCACGCCGUAAACGAUGAGUGCUAGGUGUUGGAGGGUUUCCGCCCUUCAGUGCCGGAGCUAACGCAUUAAGCACUCCGCCUGGGGAGUACGACCGCAAGGUUGAAACUCAAAGGAAUUGACGGGGGCCCGCACAAGCGGUGGAGCAUGUGGUUUAAUUCGAAGCUACGCGAAGAACCCUACCAGGUCUCGACAUCUUGCGCUAACCUUAGAGAUAAGGCGUUCCCUUCGGGGACGCAAUGACAGGUGGUGCAUGGUUGUCGUCAGCUUGUGUCGUGAGAUGUUGGGUUAAGUCCCGCAACGAGCGCAACCCUUGUUACUAGUUGCCAGCAUUAAGUUGGGCACUCUAGUGAGACCGCCGCUGACAAACCGGAGGAAGGUGGGGACGACGUCAGAUCAUCAUGCCCCGUAUGACCUGGGCUACACACGUGGUACAAUGGAUGGUACAACGAGUCGCAAGCUCGCGAGAGUAAGGUAAUCUCUUAAAGCCGUUCUCAGUUCGGCCUGUAGGUUGCAACUCGCCUACACGAAGUCGGAGUCGCUAGUAAUCGCGGAUCAGCAUGCCGCGGUGAAUACGUUCCAAGGGCCUUGCACACACCGCCCGUCA